GACGUAGGGCGCGAGCGUUGUCCGGAUUUAUUGGGCGUAAAGAGCUCGUAGGCGGCUCGUUGCGUCGGCUGUGAAAACCCGCAGCUCAACUGUGGGCUUGCAGCUGAUACGGGCGGGCUGGGAUUCGGUAGGGGAGACUGGAAUUCCUGGUGUAGCGGUGAAAUGCGCAGAUAUCAGGAGGAACACCAAUAGCGAAGGCAGCUCGCUGGGACGGUACUGACGCUAAGGCGCGAAAGCGUGGGGAGCGAACAGG
rnacentral:rRNA from 1 species